ACUCCAGUUUCUUCAUGUGUGUGUCCAGUUUCUUCCUGUAAAAUGGGUGUGUUACACUUGCUCCCAAAAUUAUUGCACGACCUUGUGUAUAAGAGAUGAUUACCGGCGUAUUUCUCAGUAAUGGAAGGUGAUUUCAGCCCAUUGUGGUGAUGACGCCUCCUGCUACCUAGUAUGGGAACGGAUGCUCCCCAGGAGGGUCUUGUCCUGUCUGUGGUGUUCCUGCAUUUGUAAGUUGCUGUAGUACUGAUGUUUCCCCAGAUCUUUGAACAUGAACCCAGGUAUGUUUGUUUGUUUGUUUGUUUUUAAAUUCCAGUGAUGUUUGUAGUUUGUCCACAUAUUGUCCACAUAAUGGCUUUUCAGAGUGAUGAGUGUUAAUGAGUGUGUGCCCAGGCAGUGAAGUCCUUGGAUCAAAGGCACACACACCAAUGAAACCACCUGGGCAUGAGGAUCCCCUUAGUGUGGACAAGCUGGGGCACCAGCUCUUUGGAAUGGGAAGACCCGGGUCCUUGCCCUUAGAGGUAGGUGUCCUUGGGCGUGAGGCCCUUAUCUUCUGAGUCAUGAGUAGUUUCCCAAUGAAGAAUAUGGGUGGGGCUGCUGAAGGGGUGGUUCCAGGCCUUAGAAGAUUUGCCUGAAGGUCAGAGUGUAGGCUGCUCACACUAUAAGGCAUCACCCCCACAUCGUGUGUUCUGGAAGAUUCUGGACUUACAGCUUUACCUACAUGUCCCCUCCUGCCUACCCCAGAGUGGAACAUACGAGAGAUGCCCCCACCCCCAGCUCCAGCUGGCCAUGAGAAACAGAGGCUCUGCAAGGCUCAGUGACUUUCCCAAGAACACAGAUGGCUGGCACAGGACUCAGGUCCCCUGAGUGGGGACACUAUAGGACACCAGCAUUUAUACGGGUUCCCUUUCCACCAGUACCUUGGUUCCUGGCGUCCCUGGCUCACCCUGUGUGGGAAAGAAGGCGGCAGUGAAGAAAAGACAAAGCAGAACCAAGGGCCCUCUGCUUUCCAGGAGGGCCACUUCCUCUGCUUAGGGGACACCCCAGGGCAGAGGCUC